UGACCUCGGAUCAGGUAGGAAUACCCGCUGAACUUAAGCAUAUCAAUAAGCGGAGGAAAAGAAACCAACAGGGAUUGCCCUAGUAACGGCGAGUGAAGCGGCAACAGCUCAAAUUUGAAAUCUGGCCCCCGGGUCCGAGUUGUAAUUUGUAGAGGAUGCUUUUGGUGCGGUACCUUCCGAGUGCCCUGGAACGGGACGCCAUAGAGGGUGAGAGCCCCGUCUGGUUGGACGCCAAUCCUUUGUAAAGCUCCUUCAACGAGUCGAGUAGUUUGGGAAUGCUGCUCUAAAUGGGAGGUAUAUGUCUUCUAAAGCUAAAUAUUGGCCAGAGACCGAUAGCGCACAAGUAGAGUGAUCGAAAGAUGAAAAGCACUUUGAAAAGAGAGUUAAAAAGUACGUGAAAUUGUUGAAAGGGAAGCGCUCAUGACCAGACUUGGGCUUGGUUGAUCAUCCAGGGUUCUCCCUGGUGCACUCUUCCGGCCCAGGCCAGCAUCAGUUCGCUGUGGGGGAUAAAGGCUUCGGGAAUGUGGCUCCCUCGGGAGUGUUAUAGCCCGUCGUGUAAUACCCUGUGGCGGACUGAGGUUCGCGCAUUCGCAAGGAUGCUGGCGUAAUGGUCAUCAGCGACCCGUCUUGAAACACGGACCAAGGAGUCGUCUUCGUAUGCGAGUGUUCGGGUGUCAAACCCCUACGCGUAAUGAAAGUGAACGCAGGUGAGAGCUUCGGCGCAUCAUCGACCGAUCCUGAUGUUCUCGGAUGGAUUUGAGUAAGAGCAUACGGGGCCGGACCCGAAAGAAGGUGAACUAUGCCUGUAUAGGGUGAAGCCAGAGGAAACUCUGGUGGAGGCUCGCAGCGGUUCUGACGUGCAAAUCGAUCGUCAAAUAUGGGCAUGGGGGCGAAAGACUAAUCGAACCUUCUAGUAGCUGGUUUCCGCCGAAGUUUCCCUCAGGAUAGCAGUGUUGAUCUCAGUUUUAUGAGGUAAAGCGAAUGAUUAGGGACUCGGGGGCGCUAUUUAGCCUCCAUCCAUUCUCAAACUUUAAAUAUGUAAGAAGCCCUUGUUACUUAAUUGAACGUGGGCAUUCGAAUGUACCAACACUAGUGGGCCAUUUUUGGUAAGCAGAACUGGCGAUGCGGGAUGAACCGAACGCGAGGUUAAGGUGCCAGAGUAGACGCUCAUCAGACACCACAAAAGGUGUUAGUACAUCUUGACAGCAGGACGGUGGCCAUGGAAGUCGGAAUCCGCUAAGGACUGUGUAACAACUCACCUGCCGAAUGUACUAGCCCUGAAAAUGGAUGGCGCUCAAGCGUCUCACCCAUACCUCGCCCUCAGGGUAGAAACGAUGCCCUGAGGAGUAGGCGGACGCAGAGGUCAGUGACGAAGCCUAGGGCGUGAGCCCGGGUCGAACGGCCUCUGGUGCAGAUCUUGGUGGUAGUAGCAAAUACUUCAAUGAGAACUUGAAGGACCGAAGUGGGGAAAGGUUCCAUGUGAACAGCGGUUGGACAUGGGUUAGUCGAUCCUAAGCUAUAGGGAAGUUCCGUUUCAAAGGCGCACUUUGCGCCGUCUAGCGAAAGGGGAGCCGGUCAAUAUUCCGGCACCUGGAUGUGGGUUUUGCGCGGCAACGCAACU
rfam:Neonectria ditissima strain R09/05 contig_516, whole genome shotgun sequence.